UCAAAUUUCGUAUAAUAAGUAUAAUUAAUUGCAGAUUAAUUGGUAAAAUAAUUUUAGAUAAUUUUAAUUUGUU
rnacentral:tRNA from 1 species